rnacentral:rRNA from 1 species
GAAUUCUUCGGAAGGAAGUUGAUUAAGUUUAGUGGCGGACGGGUGAGUAACGCGUGAGUAACCUGCCUUUGAGAGGGGAAUAACUUCCCGAAAGGGAUGCUAAUACCGCAUGAUGCAUAGAAGUCGCAUGGCUUUUAUGCCAAAGAUUUAUCGCUCAAAGAUGGACUCGCGUCCGAUUAGCCAGUUGGCGGGGUAACGGCCCACCAAAGCGACGAUCGGUAGCCGGACUGAGAGGUUGAACGGCCACAUUGGGACUGAGACACGGCCCAGACUCCUACGGGAGGCAGCAGUGGGGGAUAUUGCGCAAUGGGGGAAACCCUGACGCAGCAACGCCGCGUGAAGGAUGAAGGUUUUCGGAUUGUAAACUUCUUUUAUUUAGGACGAAGAAUGACGGUACUAAAUGAAUAAGCUCCGGCUAACUACGUGCCAGCAGCCGCGGUAAUACGUAGGGAGCAAGCGUUAUCCGGAUUUACUGGGUGUAAAGGGUGCGUAGGCGGCUUGGUAAGUCAGAUGUGAAAUGUAUGGGCUCAACCCAUGCACUGCAUUUGAAACUAUUGAGCUUGAGUGAAGUAGAGGUAGGCGGAAUUCCCUGUGUAGCGGUGAAAUGCGUAGAGAUAGGGAGGAACACCAGUGGCGAAGGCGGC